UUUAGCAUCUGCCCCCUGGUGGUCAAUGCACAUCAUAGCGACUGGUCAUUCUGGUUGUACUGCCAUAACUGCCAUAAAGUCACUUAGGCUUUUAUUAUAUAGAUAGGAAGGGAUCUAGAAGAGGGGGAGGUCAAACUUUGAUAAUGAAAAGAUCUCUCCUCCCCACUAGAGUGCUUUUUCUUUUUUUUCUUUUUCUUUUUUUUCCAAAUUUUUACUUCAGCCCCUAUUCCUGAGUUGGGAGAAGCAGCAACCACCUCUGCACAAACUUGCCAUUUAAGAUCAGCAUGGGCCUUCCCCCAACCUAUUUAUAAUGCACUGGGAGAACACAUCUUCACAUCUAGUUAGAUGCAUGUAUAAUAGGUUAUUUUAUAGUUUUUUUUUAUAACACUUUAGCCCUAGAGCAGGUUUUCCAGGUGUUUUUACCUGCAGCCACAAAAAGUAUCCAGUAAUUUUAUCCAGUUCUAUAAAUACACCUUAUUUUAUUACUUCUUAAUGCCUCCUUGCUUAAAACUCUAAUAGGUGGUAAACACUUGUCAACCACAUGUUGGACUUUGAAUAUCUCCUUUAAAUCUGAGAACUCCAGAGAACCAUUUCGGCCACAUAGUCAAAUAUAAUUUGUUUAUCAUGGAUUAUGUUAAUGGGUACAAUUUGUUAAAACUUCUAGGUGAGAAAAUUGCAGUUUUAAUUUGAGGCUUAAAAUGAAAUAGAUGAGCAUUAUGAAUGCGCAGCUUUUCCUAUUUCAUUUGGCAAAAGAAAUUGAUUCUUAAAGUGGCAUGCUAACCUUUUUGUCCGUUGUGUGUCAUGAAUGCUAUUUUUAUUUAGGACACAAAUUCUAUCACUGUUCUAGAGAGUAAAAAAAAACAAAAAAGAGAUCUGCUCUUUGAAAAAAGAGUUUCUUGAUAUGAGACAAGCAGAUUGACAUAAUUCCAAAAGCCUAUGGUUUUGAAGCUUGCAUUGCUUAUGUUUUGAUUGUGUGGACUCAGUUACCAUUUAAAGCUUUGUUUGAUUUUGGAGCAGCAGCUUUUUUUUUUAUGACCCUUAGCUAAUAAGCUUUAAUAAGCAGAAACAUUUCAAUUAUUCUGAUUAAAGAGCUGUAUUGAACAUGCUGACCAAAUGUAGAUUUUAUAUUUUUAAUUAGACACCAAGAAUUUGGUAAGAGCAUAAUUUUAUUUAGAUCAACCAUUGAGAAAGCUAAGUUCACCGGUUAGUUAAUGAACUACAGUGACAGGAUUUUCUUCAUUUAAAUUAUUAAGGUACGAUCUUAGAAAAGCAUAAUUCUUAAAUAUGAACUUAUAGAUAUACAGGCAAGUUUACUUUGAACUCAAUAACUUGCAAGGAUAUAAUAAUUUUGCCAGUUUAUUUGUUAAGUGUCAUUUUUACAGAAAUGUUUUUUAAAUGAUACUUUUUGAUGAAGUUCAUGUUUAACAAAACCAAGCAUAAAAGCUAAUACUUUUAGUAAUUUCCUUUUAUUAGAUUCAGGUAGAAAAGUGCCAAAGUGCUUUGGUUCCACAGUAGGUUGCAGUCUUGUCAUAGAGUUCUCAUUUGGUGUUUAGAACCUAAAACCCUGGCAUGCAGAUGUGAGUGGUCUGACAUGAUGUGUUGAUUUAGCUAUUUAGAUGACUUCAGAUGUAGCUGGAGCUCUCUUCUAUCUAGGGAACUAAACAGACGAGGCUUUGUGAAGCACUAAAUUAAUUUUGUAUCGACAUUCUGGGUGUUGGUGAUAAUUUGCUGUGACAUUCUGCCGAUUGGUUAUGAUCGUGACAGGCAGGCUCUAUCCAAACGGACAACACAAGAGCCAAAUGUAAUAGUCUUAGCGUUGGAAAUCUCUGCCUUGAGGAGAGCAGAAGCCUUCUGCACUUGUUUUCUCCCUCCACAAUUAUGGAUUAAUACAUAUCAAUUCUAGGCAGUUGAGAGGAUGAUUGGAACAGGACAACAUUCAUUGCACUAGUGAAGUUAAAAUGCUGUGAUGGUUUUUCUGCUGCCAAGCGGUAGAAAAGGCAAAUGGACCCCGAUUCCUAGCCUUUGCACACUCAGAACUUCAAGAAAGUGGAUAAGAAGGGAAGUAGAAAACACGUAAUUCAAGUUGGUAUAAGUUGUUUUUUAUAAAUUAUUUUUCAAAAAUAUCAACAAUAGCCCAAUGUUGUUUAUACUAUAUUAUUUUGUCCAUUUAGUCACAACCACUGUGACCACAGUAAGAAAAUUAGACGCCAUGACUUUACACAACAAAUCAUAUACAUAUUGCUGUAUGAAAUGGCUUUAAAGUGAAAAGACUUUUCCAUAUCUUACUAAAGGUUUCAAUAAAAAAUUUUAACUACAAAAUAUUGAAGGCUCCCCUACCUCCAGCUUUUUGUUUUUCCUGCUUACAAAGCAUAUCUAUCAUAGCAGUGGAAUUAGGGCAAUAUUUUCUAGUACUAAGGCUGUGUAUUUAUUUUUUCAAGUUAUCUGGGAACUUUUAAAACUAUCUUUAUUGCAAUUUUUUACCAUAGUGGCACUCUAAUAAAAUUACUAUAUGUAAAUUUUAAUUUCACAAACUCUUGAACAUAUUUUUACGUAGCUUUCUGAUGGGAGCGCCAAUCUUUAGAUUUUUAAAAUGUGAUUUGAUUUUUUUAGGUACUUAUUCAGUAUAAUGCGAUUUUUUUCCUUAAUUGCACAUAUUUUUUAACCACAAAAUCUGCUUAAAUGCUGUGCAAGGAUUGGCAAAAGCAAACUAUAACAACAUGAAAAUGAGUUACUAAGUGUCACUUUUACAGAUCUGCUCACUGAGGUAAUGGAUUUUGGCAAUUCACAGUAUUUUUUAAAACUUUUUUUCCCCUUUGAGAAUAGUAAUAUUAAGGCCAAAAAGAUCAGUAGUAUGCCAAAUUUAGGGAGAUUAUUUGGUAAAGAGAAAUUACAAACUUAUUAAUCAAGCUAUAUAAUUGAGGUAAAUGUAGAUAAGUCUGAUAUACAGAAUGGCAUUACAAUUAUAAAGUCUAUUUACCAUAAUGAUGGAAUUCUAGAUGUAGAUGAAAUGAGAUGAAUGUCUUUAAGCUUUCAAUGUAUUUUUAACUCAAUUUAGGAAUGUUUAUAGUUUAAGAAACCUUGUUUGUAUUCAUUUGCCUUCAAAAAAUUAAGGAUGCUUUAAAGAAUAUUUGAAGUUCUACUAUUUAGUUUCUAACAUUCUGAGAGAGUGGUCAAGAGACUGAAAAUGUUCAAACUUGGUGUGAAUGUAUACACACUUUAUAGUUAAACGACUCAUUGCUUUGCUACUGUCAAUGUUUUAAAGCACAGAUGCUGAAGACAUAGCAAUUUACUUAAUUAACCCCUGCUCCCUUUACAGGGGAAGAAAUAAGAUUACUCUGGCCAUCACAUGUUACUUGAAUUAUAUUUAAUCUUUUAUUACUCUGAAAACACACACACACACACAGAUAUGGACAGCAGACAUAUCCCCCUUGUGAGUGCAUUUCUUCCUAACAUAAACUGAAUGUUAAUAGCUCUGAUGGUAUUUCUCUCUAAUGGAAAAAAAAAAGUGCCAUAGUUAGAAAGGAAGCUUAUGCGUUACAGGUUUAUGGCCUGCAGUAAAAGUAGAUUAAGACUGUAUUUGUGAGGGUUCUCUACAUAGCCUUCCUAAUAUCAGCUGACUAAUUGGAGAAAAUGUAUGUGCUUUCAUUCUGACCAAUAAAAGGCAACUUGGUGAGUUAUAGAGAUUGACUGGGUGCUUGACAUGUGGUGCUAGUCCAUUAAAACAGUGGGCAACUGGUACUGGGGAGGUUGAGGAGAAAUUAACCUGUCUUGCUUGUUUUCAGAUAUACUUUUAGAUAUGUUGAUAUUCUAAUAUUCUUAAAAUAUAAAAAUGCAACAUCAGUUCACAUAUAAUAGGUUUCCUGCUAUUGCUUUUAUAGUGCCAAUGUA